AUCCUACGGGGGGCAGCAGUGGGGAAUAUUGCACAAUGGGGGAAACCCUGAUGCAGCGACGCCGCGUGAGCGAAGAAGUAUCUCGGUAUGUAAAGCUCUAUCAGCAGGGAAGAAAAUGACGGUACCUGACUAAGAAGCCCCGGCUAACUACGUGCCAGCAGCCGCGGUAAUACGUAGGGGGCAAGCGUUAUCCGGAUUUACUGGGUGUAAAGGGAGCGCAGGCGGCGCGGUAAGUCUGAUGUGAAAGCCCGGGGCUCAACCCCGG
rnacentral:rRNA from 1 species